rnacentral:tRNA from 2 species
CGGGGCGUAGCGCAGCCUGGUUAGCGCAUCAGACUGGGGGUCUGAGGGUCGGUGGUUCGAAUCCACUCGCCCCGA